AGGCCUCUCAUGUAGUUUUUCUCUAGCUUUGGCUUCUGCCUGAGCACAGCCUAACUGGCCCACCCAAAGCCUGCAAUUCCUUUUUCUACCCUACCAGACCCAUAAUAAAGCUUUCCUUGGUCUCCACAGCCUGAAGUGUAACCCUCUGGUCAGGGUGUAACCUGCCUCCUGAGGGCAGUUUGGCUAUCUCCCUUGCUUGGCAGUGGCACUUAGGGUAAGGAGUGGCCUUGUCUGAGUGCGUGCAGGGCACAUUCCCACACUGACCAGCCUUAUGACCUCCAUCUGACCCAGUGCUGGAGUUGGGGUCAGCUUCUCUUCCUGUGUCAGGGGGUUCUAAGGAUUAGCUGAGAAGGCUGGAGGGUCUAGGGGAGAGCUGAGCAUGUCCCCAGUCUGUUCCUUCCCUUUACUUUUGCUCUCUGUUCCGUGGAGUGAAUCACAAACUCUGAGCCUCAGUUUCCCCAUAUCCCACCUUGGCUAUAAGUCUUUUGGACCAGACUUGGUAUUUAAUUGACACCUUCUUCUAAAGAGGGGAGGGGGUGUCCCUGAGGGGAUGUCAGGAAAAAACUUGGUCGAACCCCUGCUGUAGGAAGUUGAAGCCCCACAACCUUGGCAGACAGGGCAGCAAAGCAGCUUGUAAUUUUGUUCUUGAAGGAGGUCUGCACAGCAUUACCCAGGUGGCGUAUUGGCUCCCUGGGGUGGUGGUACACUUUCUCUGGAAAUAGUUUCAAGAGGUUGGGUAUUUCCACAUUUGAGGUUGACUUGAUGCUGUCUUUAGAAUGCUGGGUACCCCUAUGGAGAGGGGCAGCAGGGAGAGACUUGGGGACCCACAUGCUGCCACCUGUACCUUUCCUGCUUUUCAGG
rnacentral:lncRNA from 1 species